rnacentral:rRNA from 1 species
UGGGGAAUUUUGGACAAUGGGCGAAAGCCUGAUCCAGCAAUGCCGCGUGUGUGAAGAAGGCCUUCGGGUUGUAAAGCACUUUUGUCCGGAAAGAAAUCCUUGGCUCUAAUACAGUCGGGGGAUGACGGUACCGGAAGAAUAAGCACCGGCUAACUACGUGCCAGCAGCCGCGGUAAUACGUAGGGUGCAAGCGUUAAUCGGAANUUACUGGGCGUAAAGCGUGCGCAGGCGGUUUGCUAAGACCGAUGUGAAAUCCCCGGGCUCAACCUGGGAACUGCAUUGGUGACUGGCAGGCUAGAGUAUGGCAGAGGGGGGUAGAAUUCCGACGUGUAGCAGUGAAAUGCGUAGAGAUGUGGAGGAAUACCGAUGGCGAAGGCAGCCCCCUGGGCCAAUACUGACGCUCAUGCACGAAAGCGUGGGGAGCAAACAGGAUUAGAUACCCUGGUAGUCCACGCCCUAAACGAUGUCAACUAGUUGUU